ACCAUGCUGUCAGGAAGCGGGAGAGAACCCUUGAGUCAUGGGGUCCUCGGCAGAAGUCUUUGAGAGUGUGAGAGCCCAGCAGCUCCAACUCUCAAGACCUGAGCCAAGCAGAGCAAGAGAAGGAGGGAAGGAAACAUGAGACUGAGGUGAAAGGACUUGGGAGGCCAUGCUGUCUCUUCUCAAGCGGUGCACCAGAAGGAAUGGGCCAUGGGGAGAAAGUGACCAUUCAAAACAUACCCGUUAGGUUGGUCAGAUUCUAAAAUUCAGCUUUAGAAUAACAAUAAUAAUGGUGAGCUCAGUAAUGUAUUUACUUCUUCUUAGUUGCUAUAGAUCAAGUACUCCAUUAAGUCACA